rnacentral:rRNA from 1 species
UACAGAGGGGGCAAGCGUUAUUCGGAAUUAUUGGGCGUAAAGGGCGCGUAGGCGGCUUGGCAAGUGGAUGGUGAAAUCCCUCGGCUUAACCGAGGAACUGCCGUCCAAACUGCUUCGCUUGAGACCGGGAGAGGUGAGUGGAAUUCCCAGUGUAGCGGUGAAAUGCGUAGAUAUUGGGAGGAACACCAGUGACGAAGGCGGCUCACUGGACCGGUACUGACGCUGAUGCGCCGAAAGCGUGGGGAGCAACAGG